CAGUAGCCGCGGUAAUACGGAGGGGGCUAGCGUUGUUCGGAAUUACUGGGCGUAAAGCGCACGUAGGCGGCUUUGUAAGUUAGAGGUGAAAGCCCGGAGCUCAACUCCGGAAUUGCCUUUAAGACUGCAGAGCUAGCAGGUGAGAGAGGUGAGUGGAAUUCCGAGUGUAGAGGUGAAAUUCGUAGAUAUUCGGAGGAACACCAGUGGCGAAGGCGGCUCACUGGCUCAUACUGGACGCUGAGGUGCGAAAGCGUGGGGAGCAAACAGGAUUAGAGACCCCGGUAGUCCCUGUCUCUUAUAC
rnacentral:rRNA from 1 species